GACGAACGCUGGCGGCGUGCUUAACACAUGCAAGUCGAACGGAAAGGCCCUGCUUUUGUGGGGUGCUCGAGUGGCGAACGGGUGAGUAACACGUGAGCAACCUGCCCUUGACUUUGGGAUAACUUCAGGAAACUGGGGCUAAUACCGGAUAGGAGCUCCUGCGGCAUGGUGGGGGUUGGAAAGUUUCGGCGGUUGGGGAUGGACUCGCGGCUUAUCAGCUUGUUGGUGGGGUAGUGGCUUACCAAGGCUUUGACGGGUAGCCGGCCUGAGAGGGUGACCGGCCACAUUGGGACUGAGAUACGGCCCAGACUCCUACGGGAGGCAGCAGUGGGGAAUAUUGCACAAUGGGCGGAAGCCUGAUGCAGCAACGCCGCGUGCGGGAUGACGGCCUUCGGGUUGUAAACCGCUUUCGCCUGUGACGAAGCGUGAGUGACGGUAAUGGGUAAAGAAGCACCGGCUAACUACGUG
rnacentral:rRNA from 1 species